CCUACGGGAGGCAGCAGUGAGGAAUAUUGGUCAAUGGACGAGAGUCUGAACCAGCCAAGUAGCGUGAAGGAUGACUGCCCUAUGGGUUGUAAACUUCUUUUAUAAAGGAAUAAAACGAGGCACGUGUGCCUUUUUGCAUGUACUUUAUGAAUAAGGAUCGGCUAAAUCCGUGCCAGCAGCCGCGGGAAUACGGAGGAUCCGAGCGUUAUCCGGAUUUAGUGGGUUGAAAGGGAGCGUAGAUGGGUUGUUAAGUCAGUUGUGAAAGUUUGCGGCUCAACCGUAAAAUUGCAAUUGAUACUGGCAGUCUUGAGUACAGUUGAGGUAGGCGGAAUUCGUGGUGUAGCGGUGAAAUGCUUAGAUAUCACGAAGAACCCCGAUUGCGAAGGCAGCUUACUAAACUGUGACUGACAUUGAUGCUCGAAAGUGUGGGUAUCAAACAGGAUUAGAUACCCGGGUAGUC
rnacentral:rRNA from 1 species